rnacentral:rRNA from 1 species
UACGAAGGGUGCAAGCGUUACUCGGAAUUACUGGGCGUAAAGGGUGCGUAGGUGGUUUGUUAAGUCUGCUGUGAAAUCCCCGGGCUCAACCUGGGAAUGGCAGUGGAUACUGGCAAGCUAGAGUGCGGUAGAGGGUAGUGGAAUUCCUGGUGUAGCAGUGAAAUGCGUAGAUAUCAGGAGGAACACCGAUGGCGAAGGCAGGUCUCUGGGCUGACACUGACGCUCAUGCACGAAAGCGUGGGGAGCAAACAGG